AGUCUGUAAUGUGUGUGUGUGUGUGUGUGUGUGUGUGUGUGUGUGUGUGAGGUACAAAGGCUACAGGAUUACUGAAGAGGAGACGCACACAAACACGAUCUCUGGGUCAGGGGGACACAUCUCUCUUCUAAUUUAAAGCGACAGAGGAGCAAGCCAGUUCUGCGUUUAUCUGCUCUGAUGACAAUCAGCAGAACCUCCCAAACUACUGUACCCUCAAACUGUACCGCCAUCAGCCAAAACCUAACCUCAGCUUGCAGAGGAGCUGCCUCUCUGACCGCUGGUAGCAUCAUCCCAGGUCAGGAUGAGGGGCACGUCGUCAUCGGUACCCUCCAUUCUCCCGGACUGGCAAAAUGAAAUCCACAGCUCUCUGCAGGUCAUUCACUAGGUCCCCCCGUGUGGUUCUGGGAUUUUUGCUCACCGUUCUUGUGAUCAUUUUGACCCCAUUUUGACCCCACAUUUCCCAUGAUGUCAAGCAAAGAGCCACUGAGUUUGAAGGAAGUGAUGUCACUGAGUACCCCCCAUUUAUAGAACCUUUCACCCCCACCUGGGGUAUGGAUGCCUGAUGAAGACCUAAGGGUUGAAAUCUUUUAAUAAAAUCAUCUGGGAGCAUGA